rnacentral:rRNA from 1 species
AUUGAACGCUGGCGGCAUGCUUUACACAUGCAAGUCGAACGGCAGCGCGGGCUUCGGCCUGGCGGCGAGUGGCGAACGGGUGAGUAAUACAUCGGAACGUGCCCAGUAGUGGGGGAUAGCUCGGCGAAAGCCGGAUUAAUACCGCAUACGACCUGAGGGUGAAAGCGGGGGAUCUUCGGACCUCGCGCUAUUGGAGCGGCCGAUGGCAGAUUAGCUAGUUGGUGGGGUAAAGGCCUACCAAGGCGACGAUCUGUAGCUGGUCUGAGAGGACGACCAGCCACACUGGGACUGAGACACGGCCCAGACUCCUACGGGAGGCAGCAGUGGGGAAUUUUGGACAAUGGGCGAAAGCCUGAUCCAGGAAUGCCGCGUGUGUGAUGAAGGCCUUCGGGUUGUAAAGCACUUUUGGCGGGAACGAAAAGGACUGUGCCAAUACCACGGUUCGAUGACGGUACCCGCAGAAUAAGCACCGGCUAACUACGUG